CCAAGCAGAACGCAGACUAAAGACGCCACCUCCUGUGGCAACGUCUGCAUGGCCCGCUUCCU
rnacentral:sRNA from 1 species